CCUUCGUUCGAGGUCUAACGCAUGAAAAGACCUUGUUCUGGGCGAUUUUUCAGGCUGCCUUGGAAGGGGGCAUUUAACCCGAUUUGAUCUCCACCGAAUGCAUCGGGCCGAUUCUCUGCCGCGGGGGAACCACGCCGCCCGCCCUGCGGUUUCCAGGCACUUUGAGAAAGAUUCCUUUUGAUGUCCCUGGGAGCUCUGUUUCCAGAGCGGCCACAGCCCGGGAACUGCACAGGGACUGGAGAGCCAGGGGUCAAGUCCAGGUUCUGGGGACGCUGCUCUAGGAGGGGUGGAUGGAGUUCUCACCCGCGGAGCUGAAGAAUGCCCCUGGCUCAGGGAAGUUGUAGCCACGGUGACGUAGCACAGCCAGCGCCUGGCGUGUGGGGCGAUGCCCUUGUCUGACUGCGCCUACGUGAGGUCACAUAAAACAGGGCACUUAGGAUUAGGUGCGCGGUGCUCCGCAAUGACGGUAAGCAGCGCUGCUGUGUGUUCUAUACGGCUCUCAUCCUCGGCCCAGUGUCUCCUGCUGAUCAGGGAGAACUUUUGCUGGAAACGGUGCACACCGCCUUCCCCAGUGGCAGCCCCGGGCAUCUCGUGCUCCUACAUCUCUGGAUCCAUCAAGAGGCAGAAGCAGCAUCUGAUCAUGUGGCGGAGUCACUUGUGAAACAAGCUGAAGGAGACUUAUUAACCAGAAAACCCCGGAGCCGACUUCCUCGGUGACUCCUCAGAUCCAGGGUCGUGUUUCUUUCACAGCCAGCAGCUCUGCUCUGCAUUUGACCCCGGCUGGACUGAGUUAUUCUGGAUCUGUUCUCGUGACUCUGGGGCUUAAAAUAGUCUCUGCUGAGCCAUCUGCCUGGGGACCCAUCUCACUCCUGAGAGGUGUAGCAGCUGGGGCAGAGCUGAGCGUGGCUCCUGUUAAGAAAGUGAACAAUCUCUGGGCUUCGCUCCAUCCUGUGAGUGCGCCCAGGGGAGAAAAUAAAACAGAGGGCAUUUGGCUGCCAGAGAAGAGUAAGAGCUUAAGGAGAGAACCCGGGAGAGGCCAGGGAGAGGGAACAGGGGAGCCGGGCAGCUGACGGAGACUGGAAGGCAGCCAGGUUGAGCCAAGUUCAAGCGAGGAUCUGCCAGUGGAGGCGGUGGGGGAAAAGAGGCUCCGGAACAGCCCAGCAGCCCCGCAGCAGGAAAGGGCGUGGAGUCCCGGGGCUCAGAGGCCCUGAGAUGAGGACUCCCCRACUGACCACGGAGGCUGUCACUCUGUGGCCGUCUCUGACCUGGAGUGACUCAUCCUGGGCUUUCUCACCCUUGAAGGAGGUUCACCACAGCUCUCUCGGGUCGCAAGGGAGGACCCGAGGGCACAGGAAAGAACUAGAUCCUCUGUACAGAAGAAGUGAGAUGCCCUCCUCCGCACGUUGGCCYGGGUGGUGACUGUGACCUUUGGUUCUGCUCCCUGGUGCGGGGUUCAGGGCAAGUGCACCCAGACACAUCUGGAGUGACUCAAAUCAGUAAGUGCCUCCUAACCAUGUGUCAAGAGUAUCAUCCAAAAGCCUGGCCAAGCCGGAACAGCUGUUGUCUUCUUCUAGAAAGUUCCAGAGGUGACCUUCUAGUAAAGACACUCAAGUCGGAACAACAAGACCAACUGCAGCCCCCGGCAGGACUGCAGCCCAGGGGAGAGGUCACUCGCCGGUGCMUAACCCAAGGCAGGCUCGUCCCAGUGGAGGGGGCGCAGGCUCGGGGAAGGUGCCUGCCUUCCAUCUCUGCCUCCUGAGGCUUCCAAAGGCUUCUGUCUACAGGGGCUAAAAGUCGGACCUAAAUUUCCCCCACCACCUCCACAGGCUUUGGAAUGUUACUCAAUCUCUCCUCUAGGCUACACUGUCUCAUCUGCAAAAUGGGUGAUAGAGCUCCUUACUUAACGGGACCUUUACAGCAGGGGUCAGCAAGUACCAGCCUGAGGGCAAACUCACCCUUCUGCCUAUUAUCCUAAAUAAAGUUUUAUUGGA